rnacentral:snoRNA from 1 species
CCUCGCGAGUGGGUGCGCGGCUGGGGCUGCGGAUGGAGGCGAGUGGCGUGGUGCCGCGUGCAUGGUGCGUGUGGGCCGAGUGGCGGUGUGAGUGUGCGUGUGCGCGCGCGUGGGAGACGUGCAAGGCGAGUGUGUGUCCGCCCCACGCCCCUCCCCUCGCCUACACCUUGAUCUUAUUUGAUCGGGUCGUGACCCCCGCCCCGCCGGGCCGCCCCGAGAUGAAAAGCAUCCCUCCUGCGAAGCCCCUUCGGCGGGGCGCUGUGCAGCGAGGCCCCCUGGGCGGUGGCGGCGCCGCGGUUCCCGAGGUCCCGCGAUCGGUUCCGCGGGCCCGGCGCUCAGAAGUGAUGAAUUGAUCAGAUAGACGAGGCCGGGCCUGUCCCGGCCAGUGAUUACUGAGGCGAUUCUGAUCUGA